rnacentral:pre_miRNA from 17 species
GGUACCUGAAGAGAGGUUUUCUGGGCUUGUGUUUCUGUGAUGAGGAUGAAACACCCCCGGUUAACCUCUUUCCCAGUAUC